rnacentral:rRNA from 1 species
CACGAAGUUAGCCGGGGCUUCUUCUCCGGAUACCGUCAUUAUCUUCUCCGGUGAAAGAGCUUUACAACCCUAAGGCCCUCAUCACUCACGCGGCAUGGCUGGAUCAGGCUUGCGCCCAUUGUCCAAUAUUCCCCACUGCUGCCUCCCGUAGGAGUUUGGGCCGUGUCUCAGUCCCAAUGUGGCUGAUCAUCCUCUCAGACCAGCUAUGGAUCGUCGCCUUGGUAGGCCUUUACCCCACCAACUAGCUAAUCCAACGCGGGCUCAUCUCUUGCCGAUAAAUCUUUCCCCCUAAGGGCACAUACGGUAUUAAUUCCAGUUUCCCGGAGCUAUUCCGUAGCAAAAGGUAGAUUCCCACGCGUUACUCACCCGUCUGCCGCUCACCCCGAAGGAUGCGCUCGACUUGCAUGUGUUAAGCCUGCCGCCAGCGUUCGUUCUGAGCCAGGAUCAAACUCU